rnacentral:rRNA from 1 species
UACGUAUGGUGCAAGCGUUAUCCGGAUUUACUGGGUGUAAAGGGGGCGCAGACGGCGAUGCAAGCCAGGAGUGAAAGCCCGGGGCCCAACCCCGGGACUGCUCUGGAAACUGUACGGCUAGAGUACGGGAGGGGCAGGCGGAAUUCCUAGUGUAGCGGUGAAAUGCGUAGAUAUUAGGAGGAACACCAGUGGCGAAGGCGGCUUACUGGACUGUAACUGACGUUGAGGCUCGAAAGCGUGGGGAGCAAACAGG